rnacentral:rRNA from 1 species
GGGUUGUGAGGUUAAGCGACUAAGCGUACACGGUGGAUGCCCUGGCAGUCAGAGGCGAUGAAGGACGUGCUAAUCUGCGAUAAGCGUCGGUAAGGUGAUAUGAACCGUUAUAACCGGCGAUUUCCGAAUGGGGAAACCCAGUGUGUUUCGACACACUAUCAUUAACUGAAUCCAUAGGUUAAUGAGGCGAACCGGGGGAACUGAAACAUCUAAGUACCCCGAGGAAAAGAAAUCAACCGAGAUUCCCCCAGUAGCGGCGAGCGAACGGGGAGCAGCCCAGAGCCUGAAUCAGUGUGUGUGUUAGUGGAAGCGUCUGGAAAGGCGCGCGAUACAGGGUGACAGCCCCGUACACAAAAAUGCACAUGCUGUGAGCUCGAUGAGUAGGGCGGGACACGUGGUAUCCUGUCUGAAUAUGGGGGGACCAUCCUCCAAGGCUAAAUACUCCUGACUGACCGAUAGUGAACCAGUACCGUGAGGGAAAGGCGAAAAGAACCCCGGCGAGGGGAGUGAAAAAGAACCUGAAACCGUGUACGUACAAGCAGUGGGAGCACGCUUCGGCGUGUGACUGCGUACCUUUUGUAUAAUGGGUCAGCGACUUAUAUUCUGUAGCAAGGUUAACCGAAUAGGGGAGCCGAAGGGAAACCGAGUCUUAACUGGGCGUUAAGUUGCAGGGUAUAGACCCGAAACCCGGUGAUCUAGCCAUGGGCAGGUUGAAGGUUGGGUAACACUAACUGGAGGACCGAACCGACUAAUGUUGAAAAAUUAGCGGAUGACUUGUGGCUGGGGGUGAAAGGCCAAUCAAACCGGGAGAUAGCUGGUUCUCCCCGAAAGCUAUUUAGGUAGCGCCUCGUGAAUUCAUCUCCGGGGGUAGAGCACUGUUUCGGCAAGGGGGUCAUCCCGACUUACCAACCCGAUGCAAACUGCGAAUACCGGAGAAUGUUAUCACGGGAGACACACGGCGGGUGCUAACGUCCGUCGUGAAGAGGGAAACAACCCAGACCGCCAGCUAAGGUCCCAAAGUCAUGGUUAAGUGGGAAACGAUGUGGGAAGGCCCAGACAGCCAGGAUGUUGGCUUAGAAGCAGCCAUCAUUUAAAGAAAGCGUAAUAGCUCACUGGUCGAGUCGGCCUGCGCGGAAGAUGUAACGGGGCUAAACCAUGCACCGAAGCUGCGGCAGCGACGCUUAUGCGUUGUUGGGUAGGGGAGCGUUCUGUAAGCCUGUGAAGGUGUGCUGUGAGGCAUGCUGGAGGUAUCAGAAGUGCGAAUGCUGACAUAAGUAACGAUAAAGCGGGUGAAAAGCCCGCUCGCCGGAAGACCAAGGGUUCCUGUCCAACGUUAAUCGGGGCAGGGUGAGUCGACCCCUAAGGCGAGGCCGAAAGGCGUAGUCGAUGGGAAACAGGUUAAUAUUCCUGUACUUGGUGUUACUGCGAAGGGGGGACGGAGAAGGCUAUGUUGACCGGGCGACGGUUGUCCCGGUUUAAGCGUGUAGGCUGGUUUUCCAGGCAAAUCCGGAAAAUCAAGGCUGAGGCGUGAUGACGAGGCACUACGGUGCUGAAGCAACAAAUGCCCUGCUUCCAGGAAAAGCCUCUAAGCAUCAGGUAACAUCAAAUCGUACCCCAAACCGACACAGGUGGUCAGGUAGAGAAUACCAAGGCGCUUGAGAGAACUCGGGUGAAGGAACUAGGCAAAAUGGUGCCGUAACUUCGGGAGAAGGCACGCUGAUAUGUAGGUGAAGCGACUUGCUCGUGGAGCUGAAAUCAGUCGAAGAUACCAGCUGGCUGCAACUGUUUAUUAAAAACACAGCACUGUGCAAACACGAAAGUGGACGUAUACGGUGUGACGCCUGCCCGGUGCCGGAAGGUUAAUUGAUGGGGUCAGCGCAAGCGAAGCUCUUGAUCGAAGCCCCGGUAAACGGCGGCCGUAACUAUAACGGUCCUAAGGUAGCGAAAUUCCUUGUCGGGUAAGUUCCGACCUGCACGAAUGGCGUAAUGAUGGCCAGGCUGUCUCCACCCGAGACUCAGUGAAAUUGAACUCGCUGUGAAGAUGCAGUGUACCCGCGGCAAGACGGAAAGACCCCGUGAACCUUUACUAUAGCUUGACACUGAACAUUGAGCCUUGAUGUGUAGGAUAGGUGGGAGGCUUAGAAGUGUGGACGCCAGUCUGCAUGGAGCCGACCUUGAAAUACCACCCUUUAAUGUUUGAUGUUCUAACGUUGACCCGUAAUCCGGGUUGCGGACAGUGUCUGGUGGGUAGUUUGACUGGGGCGGUCUCCUCCUAAAGAGUAACGGAGGAGCACGAAGGUUGGCUAAUCCUGGUCGGACAUCAGGAGGUUAGUGCAAUGGCAUAAGCCAGCUUGACUGCGAGCGUGACGGCGCGAGCAGGUGCGAAAGCAGGUCAUAGUGAUCCGGUGGUUCUGAAUGGAAGGGCCAUCGCUCAACGGAUAAAAGGUACUCCGGGGAUAACAGGCUGAUACCGCCCAAGAGUUCAUAUCGACGGCGGUGUUUGGCACCUCGAUGUCGGCUCAUCACAUCCUGGGGCUGAAGUAGGUCCCAAGGGUAUGGCUGUUCGCCAUUUAAAGUGGUACGCGAGCUGGGUUUAGAACGUCGUGAGACAGUUCGGUCCCUAUCUGCCGUGGGCGCUGGAGAACUGAGGGGGGCUGCUCCUAGUACGAGAGGACCGGAGUGGACGCAUCACUGGUGUUCGGGUUGUCAUGCCAAUGGCACUGCCCGGUAGCUAAAUGCGGAAGAGAUAAGUGCUGAAAGCAUCUAAGCACGAAACUUGCCCCGAGAUGAGUUCUCCCUGACUCCUUGAGAGUCCUGAAGGAACGUUGAAGACGACGACGUUGAUAGGCCGGGUGUGUAAGCGCAGCGAUGCGUUGAGCUAACCGGUACUAAUGAACCGUGAGGCUUAACCUUACAACGCCGAAG